CAGUCGCCACGGUAAUACGUAGGUGGCAAGCGUUGUCCGGAAUUAUUGGGCGUAAAGGGCUCGCAGGCGGUUUCUUAAGUCUGAUGUGAAAGCCCCCGGCUCAACCGGGGAGGGUCAUUGGAGACUGGGAAACUUGAGUGCAGAAGAGGAGAGUGGAAUUCCACGUGUAGCGGCGAAAUGCGUAGAGAUGUGGAGGAACACCAGUGGCGAAGGCGACUCUCUGGUCUGUAACUGACGCUGAGGAGCGAAAGCGUGGGGAGCGAACAGGAUUAGAUACCCCCGUAGUCCCUGUCUCUUAUAC
rnacentral:rRNA from 1 species